UACGUAGGGGGCGAGCGUUGUCCGGAUUUACUGGGCGUAAAGCGCGUGUAGGCGGCGGCUUAAGUCGGGUGUGAAAGCCCGGGGCUCAACCCCGGGAUGCCGCCCGAGACUGGGCGGCUUGAGGUCGGAAGAGGGGAGUGGAAUUCCAGGUGUAGCGGUGAAAUGCGUAGAGAUCUGGAGGAACACCCGUGGCGAAGGCGGCUCCCUGGUCCGAUUCUGACGCUGAGACGCGAAAGCGCGGGGAGCGAACGGG
rnacentral:rRNA from 1 species